CGGCUAUACAUGCAAGUCGAGCGGACAGAAGGGAGCUUGCUCCCGGAUGUUAGCGGCGGACGGGUGAGUAACACGUGGGUAACCUGCCUGUAAGACUGGGAUAACUCCGGGAAACCGGAGCUAAUACCGGAUAGUUCCUUGAACCGCAUGGUUCAAGGAUGAAAGACGGUUUCGGCUGUCACUUACAGAUGGACCCGCGGCGCAUUAGCUAGUUGGUGGGGUAAUGGCUCACCAAGGCGACGAUGCAUAGCCGACCUGAGAGGGUGAUCGGCCACACUGGGACUGAGACACGGCCCAGACUCCUACGGGAGGCAGCAGUAGGGAAUCUUCCGCAAUGGACGAAAGUCUGACGGAGCAACGCCGCGUGAGUGAUGAAGGUUUUCGGAUCGUAAAGCUCUGUUGUUAGGGAAGAACAAGUGCGAGAGUAACUGCUCGCACCUUGACGGUACCUAACCAGAAAGCCACGGCUAACUACGUGCCAGCAGCCGCGGUAAUACGUAUGUGGCAAGCGUUGUCCGGAAUUAUUGGGCGUAAAGGGCUCGCAGGCGGUUUCUUAAGUCUGAUGUGAAAGCCCCCGGCUCAACCGGGGAGGGUCAUUGGAAACUGGGAAACUUGAGUGCAGAAGAGGAGAGUGGAAUUCCACGUGUAGCGGUGAAAUGCGUAGAGAUGUGGAGGAACACCAGUGGCGAAGGCGACUCUCUGGUCUGUAACUGACGCUGAGGAGCGAAAGCGUGGGGAGCGAACAGGAUUAGAUACCCUGGUAGUCCACGCCGUAAACGAUGAGUGCUAAGUGUUAGGGGGUUUCCGCCCCUUAGUGCUGCAGCUAACGCAUUAAGCACUCCGCCUGGGGAGUACGGUCGCAAGACUGAAACUCAAAGGAAUUGACGGGGGCCCGCACAAGCGGUGGAGCAUGUGGUUUAAUUCGAAGCAACGCGAAGAACCUUACCAGGUCUUGACAUCCUCUGACAACCCUAGAGAUAGGGCUUUCCCUUCGGGGACAGAGUGACAGGUGGUGCAUGGUUGUCCUCAGCUCGUGUCGUGAGAUGUUGGGUUAAGUCCCGCCACGAGCGCAACCCUUGAUCUUAUUUGCCAGCAUUUAGUUGGGCACUCUAAGGUGACUGCCGGUGACAAACCGGAGGAAAGUGGGGAUGACGUCAAUCAUCAUGCCCCUUAUGACCUGGGCUACCCCGUGCUACAAGGGACGGAACAAAGGGCUGCCAAACCCG
rnacentral:rRNA from 1 species